GAUUAGCUCAGUUGGUAGAGCAUCAGACUCUUAAUCUUAGGGUUGUGGGUUCGAGCCCCACAUUGGGCCA